UCGGCGGUGAGGUCGUCGUACGACCUGGGCUUGCACGCUACCAGACGAAUUAUUGCAUUGGCGUCGGAGGUAUGGCCGAGAUCAGAGACUUAUUAUAGUCGACUAGACUCUGCAGGGCUGGCUUGCCGUGGAGAGUUGAGGAUCCGUAGAUGACAGGAGCCAUGCGCAUUAAUUGUGGAGUAAGCCGGAGAUCCGCAUUAAUUGUGGAGUAAGCCGGAGAUCCGCAUUAAUUGUGGAGUAAGCCGGAGAUCCGCAUUAAUUGUGGAGUAAGCCGGAGAUCCGCAUUAAUUGUUGAGUGAACCGGAGGUUUACAGUGGCCAUGCGCAAUAAAUGCCGGAGGGGCGUCAGGGUAUGGUCCUCGGCCGGACCUCAGAGGGGUAUGGCCGUAGUAGGUGGCUGAUAAGGGUAGACUUUGAACAUCAGGGUUUUCCUAGGUCGGAGGUCUCGAGGUCGGAUGCCUUGAGGUCGGGCGUUCCGAGGUCGGACGUUCCGAGG
rnacentral:lncRNA from 1 species